rnacentral:sRNA from 1 species
GCGGAGAACAAUAUGGCGGAUGGCGAGGAGCCAAUGGCUGUUGAUGGUGGGUGUGGGGACACUGGAGACUGGGAAGGUCGCUGGAACCAUGUAAAGAAGUUCCUCGAGCGAUCUGGACCCUUCACACACCCUGAUUUCGAACCGAGCACUGAAUCUCUCCAGUUCUUGUUAGAUACAUGUAAAGUUCUAGUCAUUGGAGCUGGCGGCUUAGGAUGUGAGCUCCUGAAAAAUCUGGUAAUAUAUAUACAUAUAUAUAUAUAUAAAUACAUAUUUUUUUCUUCUUUGUGAUAAGUAAACCUUACUUAUCUGUCAUACUAGGAAAUUUCUUGUGAUUCUUAACCUUUUCUCUUGAGCCUUUGUUAGAUAAGUUUAGCAUGCCAAAUUCCAAACAGUAAUUAAAAUGAUAGAACUUUGGAACUUUUUAAAUUCUAAAGCUCUCAGCUAUAAAGUUAUUGAGAAAAUUUCAUACUUCAGUUUUCUUCUCUGAUCUUUAACAAAUUUUGAUGCUUCCUCUGGCAAAACGCUCCUAACUUCAGUGAAGUAAAUAACAAAACUGGUAAUUCAUAUUUUAAUGUAUAGUUUCAA